AACAGACUUACCUAAUCCUAUCACACACACACAGUAACACAAAAGGCAAGGUAAUUCCUUCCAUGGGAAGGGUUAGGUUAAUUAAUGCUACAUAUACCCCUGUACAGAGGGGAAAAUUAUGGAGGGAAAAAAAAAAACCAGUUUAAAAAAAAUCAGUGUCCAGAAGCUGUACAUUGUCAUGCUGGAUACUCCUAUGAGGGAGAGGCGGACAAAAAUAUUUAAGUGUGAAGAGACUGAUACAGACAGCUGCUGCUCUCUCAAGUCCACAGCAGUAUCAGGACAAGAGCCUGGGGAAGCCAGCUGCGCCCAACUUACUUACUUGAGGGCUCCUUCUCCUUUUCACCUGAGCUCCACAGUCUCAUACAACUGCUGGGCUGAAAAAUUCACUUUGUGAGUGAUCUCCAGACCCUGCAGAACUUAACAUCCUGCCUCCAACAAGUGCCCAAGCAGUAGUUUUAAACAUAAGUUCCGUUCAAGCAGCUGAGGAAGGAUAGCAGCAACCUGCACACAGAGCUGGUGUUUCUGAAGCUGUUAUAUUACCCUGUUUUAAGUCACAAGAACUGCUACACUUCUUCCCAAUCUCCUCCCUGAUUGCCCAACAGCAAGCCAAGUCUUUGCAAUCCACUCGAUAAAAAUAUUGCUAAAGAAAAGGUUCAUUAGGCUGCAACUCUGCUUUGCUCUUGGGAAAAUCAGUACUCAAGCUUAGGCUUACAGGUUGCUAGAUUUGUCAGAUGUGAGCUACAGCACACAUUUAAACAGGGAGAGGUAAUAAAAUUGUGAGUCAUCAGAGAAUGCAACUCCCCAUUCACUAAAGUGCAAACUGAGACGCUUCACUGAAGAACAUGGACUGCAAAUAUACAUGUUGACAAUGGAAAGGAGCCACAACCAUGUAUAAUUAUGAUAAAUAACCCUUUGACUUUCAGGGGAGGCUUAAGAGGGAUCAGACCUGAUUGCUACUGCACUGUAACUUAGAUUCAGAGAUGGUCUUUUGGUAUGAACACCCUUAGCUAUUAGUACUCCUAGCUGAGUUCAGUUUCAGGACUUCCAGACUCUGAGAAGAUGAACUACUCUUACCAAAUCCUUAUUUUAAGACAGAGCAUUUUAGGGGGAGAAAAAUGUAAUAUUCCCAAAACACAUCAUUUGUUAUCAAAUCCCAACCCCUAUGUAUAAAUCCAACACAGUUUGAUCUCAGCACAAGCUAUUUAUUUUCUUUCUACUACUGGCAAAGCUACAAGAAAACCAAUUUUUGCCUUGCAGUGGUAGAUAAUCUCCGGAGGCCCUAGUGAGAUAUCGUCCACUUCUGUAUCUUAAUCCUAUGUGAGGCCACACCACCACUCAGAACAGGACCCUCAGUCCCCUAGUGAGUCUUACAAAUCAUUAGUGCUGGCCUCUGAUCAUAGAAUUUUUACAGUUGGAAAAAAUCUCUAUGACAAUCUAGUCCAACCAUCAACCUAUCCGCACCAUGCCCAGUCAGGGUCUCGUCACUCCUUCACUUCACACAGCUGAGAGUGGCUGGGUCUGGCAGCUGAGGCUCUGGGCCAAGCCUGCACAGAGCACAUUAACUGCAGCAGCUCUCGUUUGCUAGUGGCAUGGUCUUGUCUUUGCUCUUUCCCUGCCAAAUUGUAGUGUUCCUGGCACAAAUUCACUGUUUUCUGGAGGAAGUGGUGGGUGCUGAAUCACAGAACUGUAGGGGUGGGAAGGGACCUCUUGAGAUCACCUAUUUCAGCCCCCUGCUAAAGCAGGUUACGCAGGAAAACAUUCAGGCUGGUUUUUAAUAACUCCAGAGAAGGGAAUGACCCAACCUGUCACCCUCAAAGUAAGCUAUUUUUUUUUCCUCGUGUUUGUAUGAAACCUCCUGUAUUCCAGUUUGUGCCCUCACUUUCAAGGAGCUUGAUGCUGGGUUUGGUUAUCUGUUUUAUUACCUGUGAUUUUCAUCCCCCCCAAGGGUUGUUUAAAAAUGCUUCUGAUGAUGAGGGUACAGGAAUAACACAGAGGUAGCACUGAAGAUAAAGGAUUUGUGCCUCCUGGAUUAUGAAUUUUAAUACAGCGAGUCUAAAUUCCACUGAUCUGGAUUCACUGAGUGUAGCCUAAUCAAGCAAAAAUUGUUACCUUGGGGGUAUGAAUGAGACAUAUAUGAUAUGAAGAUAACAUUUCAUUUUAUCAGCUGAAGUCUAUAAAUGUAAAUUGCAUGUUUAUGCUUGUGAAGAGGCGAAUGAAAAUUGCAGAGAUCAUCUGAAACCAGUUCUGAGAUGCUUGUAACAACUACCACCAUGCUGUAUAUAUAUAUAUAUUAUAUUAUAUAUAUUAUAUACAUAUGUAUAUAACAUAUGCUGCAGAAUAAUACUUGCAUAAUGGUAUUUCCAUGACUGUUUAGUGAGGCUAUUUAGACUUUCUUUUUACUUUUUCUUGAGUGGCAGGAUCAGUCCAGCAGGGCCUCAGCCAUGACAAAAAAAAUGCAGUAAUAGUGUCUUGAGCAGGAAAAAGCUGACUUUAUGGGCUUUUCAAGAGCUAGAACAAAGGAUAUAUCUCCGUGUAAGCAACCAAGUUGCCCUGCAGUAUGAAUGGAUGGGAAUGUGCUAUGUAUAAUACCUGCUUCAAUAAAAGUAAUAAGGUAAAGUUAAGAAAGGAAUACCACUCUCUGUUUUUCUAUGUAAGUAAAGAUUUCUAAUUUUGCAUUAAUUCUUUUCUCCUUUAACUUAGAAAAAAAUGGAAAGAUAUACUUAAUUGAGUUGGAUUGCUGUUCUGCAUUAACAAUACACUUUCGAAGAAUAAAUAAAUGUAAGGUCAAGACAGUAGCUUUAUUCAUAAACCUUGUUAUUCACUGGUUUAUAACAGGGAUGUAAUUUUGGAUACUAUAUUAGAUAUUGUGCUGAAAUUUGGAUAGAAGAACUUGUCUAUGAGAUACUUCUUCAUCAGUUAAAAGAGAACAACAACAACAAAAAGAAUGUCUUAACCUUCAAAUAGUAUUUGGUGAACAUUCAUUAUCUUCUAUUUUCUUGGCUAUCCCUGUGCAUGCGUGUGUUUGUAUCCAUUUUUCACAUUCUUAAACUCUGGAAUCUAGGAAACAGUUGAUUCCUAACAUGGUUUGGAAAUACUACAUUUAGCAAAAAGGCUGGGAAAAGAAUUACACUUAAGUUGUGCAAUUAAAAUGACAAAUUCCCAAGCAAUGAGUGUGGAUGGGAACCCUGCAUGAGAGCAGAGAGCAAAGAGACCGGACGCAUAUUUGGAAAGAGUUACUUCUUCCUUGCUGAAAGCAGGGCAGUGCUUGGAGCUUCAGCAUUUAGUGCAGCUCUGGGGUAGCCAAUCUCAGUUUGUGCCACAGGUCCACAUCUGUGAACCUGUAGGCAUCAGGGCAGAGCAGGGGCAGGCUCAUAACACAGGAACCUAGGGUGGGAGACUGGACAAGUGCCAACGAAGCACUCAGGAGCCAGAGCAAACCCCUAAAAAUCAACUUGCAGCAGAAGCUAAGCAAGCGAGGACUUAGAGAUUUGCUGCACCUGGGUUUGCAGUGCAAGCACUGCCAUGGGCAACCAUUUUCUACCGGCAGCAGAGCAGUGGCCUGUUAGUUAGUUAGUCACAUUGUGGUUGUAUGAUCUCAGAGGUCCCAGCACUGCUGCUCCUCACUUCCACACCCUGCUGUGCCCAGACAGGUAUGCUGCUUCCCUGCGAGGCUCUGGAAGUCAGGAAGGUCACCUCCACAAUUCUUUAGCAGCACAGAAGUGCCACAGAGUAGCAAUUAGUCACACUGCUGGCAGAGUUCAGCUGGCUUUCAAUACUUAAUGCAUUUCUUUGUUUUAUUUUACCUUAUUUUAGUUUUAUUGUUAUCAGUAUGAUGCAAGCAAGAGUCUCAUGUGACUUUUAAAAGUGAUUUUGAAGUCUAGUGCACUCUUUUCAGCAAGGUUCUGCUCUUCUAGGGCAAAAGAGAAAAACAGGCUAAACAAUAAUCCUCAGGUGUUCCUCUCAAAUUGCUAACAUUGUUUCCAUCAGGAAGCCAGGUGUGAUACUUCAUAUUGCAACCCAAACAUUAGCUAGUAAUUUGGAGCAAAUUUCUUCUGACUGUAUGUUUAGUGCUGGAUAAGUUCUGGGACCAUUGGGAAGGAUUAAAUAAGAGACUUACUUGCCCAGUGAGCAUCAGAGCUGAACCAGUAUGCUGCCUUGAGAAGCUGUCUUAAUUUGACUCCGUGCUGAUAAGAUGUGUUGGCCCACAGUGUCAGAGGUGGAUGUUGGUGGUAAGGCAGUAGAGGUUGAACCUUCCCACCAAUAUUCCAUUACAUGUUGUUGCCAUGUGAGAGACAGCAGCAGAGGGGCAGUCUGACAAAAUGGGGUCUGACAUGGAAGUACAUGUGAAGCAAAGGUGUGUCACUGAAUUCCUCCAUGCAGAAAAGAAGGCGCCCACUGACAUCCCUCCAUGCUUGCUGGACAUUUGAUGGAGAGCAAAUGUUGGAAGUGAGCACAGUGAGGUGGUAGGUGGUGAGUUUCAGCAGUGGUGACAGUGGUCACAGCUGCUGGUCCAGAUUUUUGCGAGCAUGCCAUACAGGCUCUUGUUCAUGGAUGGUGACAAUGUGUAGCUGAUGCUGGUGACUAUGUUGAAGAUGUGUUUUGAAGCUGAGAAUUUGCUCUAUCAAAUAUUGCACUCUUUGUAUCUGUUGUAAUUUCUACAGAAGUAAAUAAGAGGCAUUACUUUUGGAGUGACUUACAUAUUUUUAUACUGAUGGGUGGGAAAAACAUGGUACAAAUAAUAUACAGUGUAUCUCUGUGGCUGGCCCAACUGGUGAAACUGUCAACACAGAAUGAGCUGUGAGAAAAUACCUUUCAAAUCAGGUAUAUAUGGAGGUUUUCUUGAUUCUCUGUUACUUAAUUUAUGGCUCUGCAUGAGUCUGUUAUGUGUAAGGGAGAUAACCAUGGGGAGUGAAAUGAAUAAGCAGAACAUGUACUGUAGAAAUUGGUAAGCUGUUCAAAUCUCCAUUGCUUCUCUGUCAGGUAAAAUGAAGUAGUGAAUAGUCUGAUCUACCAGGUGGAUGCAAAUUGUCAUUUGUGUAUGAUUAGGCUCUAAAUGCUGGGUUUUCUAAAAUAGACUACAAGUUAGAUUUGUAGGUAAAUAUAACUAUAAAUGUUUCUUCCUUAAAUAGAGCUCACAUAGAUUAUUUUGAAAGAAUGUGAUGGCUACUUGUAUAAUUAUCACAGAAAGUAAAAAUAAUGUAAUUGUUCUUAAAACAAGUCGAACAUGAAAAAUACUCAAUGUAAGCUUAAUUUCAGAUAAUUUUGUUCCAAUUACCAGUACGUAUUUAGAAAGUAUCUCCUCAAAUUAGAAUUGCUUUAGCUUCUCCAUUUAACUCUAAAACAUUUUCCAUGAGAGCUGCUUUUCAGAUUUUAAUUGAUCGGAAAAUUAACACAAACUGUAACUCAGAUUACGCUGCAAAGCACUGAAAUCAAAAGAAUUAAAAUCUUAGAGCAUGCAUGCUAGGUUUACUGAAUUUUGAAGCUUUCCUUCUUACUUCUAGCAUGUCUGGUGCGUGACAUCAAAGGUUGGUGGAUUUUAGGAGCAGAUCUGAGGCAGCUGUCUGGGACUGUGUCGCAGAGCACAUCUAAAUUUGCAAAGCAGAUCUGCAGGUCACACUGAGCUCUAUGUCUUAAGAAUAUGCCAUAGGCUCUAUCGAGUGGCAGAAGCCACCAGCUCAGUCAGUGUCGUGGUGUAGCAGUCAGAGCUGAAGGUUUGUAUGGGUUCCAGCUCCAAAUUCUGCCUUUAUUUUCUUUCAAUCUUCUCCCAAAAGAAGGAUAAAUAGAGGCACAUCUCCUUGGUGGCCAACCUUGCACAGAGUGUGCACUGUGCUUGUGUGAGGUGUAGCCCACUUGCCCAUCUUUAAAAGCUGACUUAUGGAAUAGGGUCAAAAAUACAUUAACAGACAGCAAUUAGAGGAAAAAAACAACUCGUGAACUCAGUGAGAGUGUGUUUAAUGAAAGGCAGAAGGAAGUGCCUCCUUCCUCUGCUAGCAACUGUGCGCUCAUCUACUCUGAGACCAUUUCAGAAUUAAAUGUAAAAGUCUUGAUUUAGUGCAACAGGAGAAAGAACUUCCUCUUCAUGUUCAUAUAGGCAGCCAUUUGAACAAACAUCCUUCAGUGCCAACAGAGAGACCUGCCAAUCUCCAACAGGACUGGAGGAUGAAUGAUUCUACCUAUACUGUUUUGCACAGCAGCCAGCUUCUUCUUGCACUGCCAUCUCACUCCACUGCCAGCACACACAGGACAUCUGAAAUGUUGCAGUCAAGCCUCAUGAGUCAAAAUAUGUCUUUAAUAGCACAGAUCGUUCUGAGAAGAGACCUGAUCUACUGCCAUAAUGGCAGGGAAUAAGUUGCAUGAAAGCAGGCCUAAGGCAGCCAGAUAUCCUUGGAUUUUUACCAAAAGAAAAUUGUGAUGAGGGGGAAAAACAUAGAAUUUGUUGUAAUCGAAAUAGGCACCACAAAUGUUUACAGUGAAUUAUUCCUAAUCACAUAACACUGCAUGGUCUGUCUCACUAUAGGUUUUCAUGCAGCACUUUUUUCCUAUUGCCCUGCUAAUGGACCAGAUUUCCAGAAGGUUGCAAUUUUGAGUUGCUUUGAAUUAUCUGUGGUGCUGUCUGAAUUAUCUGAAGUGAGAGCUCUUUCCCUACCUUAUGAAUUCACUCUAAUAUCCAACCCAAUUUGUAACCUCUAACUUCUGAUACACCUUCUUGUUCUGCAAUUUAUUCCCCACAGUAAUCAUCUGUAAGCAUACUUUAUAAGUGAGAUGGAACCAGUAUAAUUUAGGGAUGAAUUUGGGUCUCUUAACAGCUGUGAUAAAAUAAUAAUUUUGUUUCAUAUUCCACUUAAUGACUUUUAAGUUGUAUAGCAGACCUUUAAUGAGUACACACUAAAAAUCGUUCCUGAAUGCAGUUGCAUUACAACAGCUGAUACCUCUAUUUAUUGGAAUUACCCUGAAAAAUAAAGCUUUUGAUCACUGCCUAUUGACCUCAUGUUAGCGGCUCAUGGGGCAAUGCGGAGAGUCUCACCAGAGAUUUAUCAUAGUAUUUCUCAAAUUGACCUGAAUUUUCAUAUCCGUAAGUAACUGCAAGCACAGACUCGUUAAUAAGAAGAGUCAGGGCUCAUUUUUCAGCUCAGAUCUGUAAUUGCUAGGCUUACAACUGAGAAGUUUAUUGUUGGGAACCACUUAUGAGUUGUAUAGAAUAUGUCCAGUUCAAUAUUUUUCUAUUUUCCCACACAGAAUUGUGUUCCAGAAAGUUACUGCAAAGCUUGCAUACUGUUCUAAAAACACACCAGACUUGAGGCCCGAUUUCAUUUCUCCACUUACUCUCAAUACAUUUUAUAACUCUUGAAAUCCUAAGGAUUUUUUUUGUCAAUUUAUUAUUUUAUAAAAUUUAAGUUCUAAACAAUGCUAAACCAUAUUGAGAUGUUUUUACAGCUGCAUAUCACAAAUAACGUAUGCUGGGCACAACUUUAAUGAACUUUAACGUGCUGGGCCUAGAAUGAAGAGCGGGAAGUGAAAGUCAAACCCAUUUUUAGCAAAGGUUGUGAUUAAGCAUUGAAAUACACUACAACAGCAGAACUUCUGUUUUCCUCAGUUCUCAAGUGAAAACUGGUGAUAUACACUGAACGGUGUUAGAUAGUUUUAUGGUCCUUCCUAAUAUCAAACUGAGUCGCAACCUCCGUCCAACUGCUGUGUCCUGUUAAUGCUUUGGAGUGCCUUAAAAGGGCUGUCCCAUCUCCCUGUUGCCCUUCAUUUUGCAGCUGAGUUUCAGUAGCCAGGAAACCAUGGUGUGAAAUGCUUCCUGCUGAAAAAACCAUCAAAAAACACCCAGUUCUAUGCGUCACCUCACUUCAAAUCAAAGGUCCAACAGCGCAUGAAAAUCAUGGGAUCGAUUCAGGUGCAGAGCGGAAGUGGAGAAAUGUCAGGUGUUACUAAUGCUGUUACCAGCUGACCUAAAUUACCUCUAAUGAUUUGGUGGCCAGAACCAAUAUUUGCUACAAAUGUCUAAAAGCAGAUAAGCUAUUUCUGCUUUAUUUCAUUGCUGAAAGAAGUUUUGCUGCAGGAUAAGUGGAGACUUUUCUAAACUCUUUCUCUCCUUGCCUUCUCUGGUCUGCUCCUUCAGAUGUUGAAGGAUUCUGAAAUGUUCCUUUCCACUAAUGGGGCCUUCAAUAAGGCUAGCACAUCAGCAACACAACGGUGCUGACUGUUAGCAAAGAGGUUGGUAAUACAGGCAGUCGUGGCAUCUGGGCUACCUUAAUGGGCUCCCUGCUUGAUCCUGGGCAAAUACAGGUUUUUGGCUCCGUCCUUGCAAGGCUGUAGGAGAAAUUCCUAUGCAACUCUAACCAAACUUUGAUUUUUCACUGUUGUCUGGUGUGUUAAUAUUUGAUCGUGGCUGUGCCACCAGUGAGUGCAGACGGAAGUUGUUGAUGGAAAGGCUGACAGCUGUUUACUGCAAAUCCUAAUGGUGUGUCCUAGAUUAGCAGAAAGGCUUGACAUGUUGAUGUUUAAGUCCCUUCUCAUGAAUGUUUCAUCACUAGCAGUAAUAAGUCUUUGUACGUCAGUGAUUUUCUCCUUGAUCCCUCUGUUUUUUCUUUCAAAAUGAAGUUAUAUUCUCACUUGCGCUAUUACCUAAAUGCCAGCUGCACAAAGCUGUUCAAGCAUAUCUAUGUGACUGUCACAUCACUGCUUUUAAGGCACCCAGGUUUUGCAGAAGAACUCAUGAAUAUGUGCUAGGUGAAUUAUCCCCAGCAGAUAGGCACAAGGUGAAAGAGUAUAGAGAGCAAAGUGGAUCCUGAAUUGACCCUACAGAGAAGGCUUCAAAGAGCCACAUGUGGGUGCAGCCUCAUGAGGCUGCUUGACUCUCAGGUGAAUACCUAUGUGAGCCUGGCUUCCAGAGCUGAAAUUUCUUGCACCACUGAAGCUGACAUGCUCUCUUUGGCUGUGGGCAAUCACCUCACUGUUUCUCUUGUUCUCCUGCCCUACAUGUCUGCCUCCUCCCAAAUAGCAGGUGGACCAAGAGCUGAGGGGACUGGUUCUUUCAGCACCGGCCAAGGCAGCGGUUGUCCAGUAGGCACCGUCUCUGCCUCUCCCAACCAAGAGCUGAAGGUUUAUGGUAGAAGAGAAAGGACAUACAUAAGAGACAAUGUUUCUGCCCCUGUGGAGAUCCUGGUUGUCCAUCAUUCUCCAUCAAGCCACAGCAUGUGAGGAGAGAGGAGCUCUACCUGCCUUAAAAGGACUUCAAAGUAUUUUUGCCACCUUUAGAAUUGUGCUCCUCACUCUCCAGCAGCACUGCUUCCAUAGCAGGGGAGAGGAGCCUUUCCUCAUGCAGCUAAUCUCCUGUUUUCCGGGGCAGCGUGUGCUGUUUAAGGCAGCAGAUACAGCAAGCAGAACUGCAGUCAGGUCCCUAACCAGAUGAUACAGGAUGCAUGUUUUAAAAAAAUAAAAAAAAGAAAAAAAGAUGCUGAGAAAAAUGAAAGAUUAAGGCAAACUCUAAUGCCUCCUGAACUGUUUGUUGUUGUUUGUUUGCUUUGCUGUGGUGUUUUUGUUGUUGUUUUUUUUCCUGGCAAUUUCAUGGCAGAUUUUGCAAUCUAGCUCUUGAAUCUUUAGACAAGGAGAGCAAUGCACCUUUCAUUUUGCUAGGAAGAUACCUUUCAAAUCCUCAAAACUGAGGAUAAAAAGCUUGAACUCAAAAGCCCUCUUUUCUUUUCCUUUAAAGAAUACAUAUUUUAAAUGAUUUUUAGACACUUCUUAUGAGAGGAUAGUAAGUUCAGGAAGUGACUUAUGAAUAUUUAGAGUACCAUUAAUUACUUAUAUGUUACAUACUUGUGGAUGUAGAAGUCCAGCAGCUAGAACAAGAGACAACAAAUGAGUGCUUAGCCUGAAAACUGAAACUCAUCGUGGGAUCUGGUAUGUGAACCAGAGCAGCAGCAAAUAUGGAAGCCCUGACCUUGGGCUUUGUAAAUUUAAAAGAAACUUUUCAAAUGAGCAGGAGUUUUUAUCACAUGGAAUUUUAGUUGUAAGCUCUUGUUGCCCCUGACCAUGAAUAUUCCUGUUGCUUUUUUUUUUUUUUUUUUUUUUUGUUAUCUAGCUUCCUCGUCUCCCUCACAGGUUCUCUAAAGGAACCUUAUUUUUCAAAUAGUGUCCAGUCUCAGAUAACUGAGCUGUCCAGUGCCUACAGGUCACCUCAUGGAUUUGUUAGGGAUGAAUCAAUGAAUUAUAUAUUUAGGGGGAAGGCUGGUACACAAAGUAAGAGAGUAGACAGCUGGAGCAGUGAAUAUCACAAUGGAGAAAUAUGUCCUCUCUCUUUCUCAGUGAAGUUCACAUCUAACCUGGCAAAGCAUGUGUGAAACUACCUGUAGAUAAGUAUAACUCUAUUUCUGAGCCUGAAAUAUAAAUGAAAAAUACGAUGCUGAAAGGGUACAUUUCAUUGAAUUUUAUCUAAUAUUAAGACUGAAUGAAGGCCAUAAAUAAGCAUCCACUGGGAAGCCUUGCUCACGUUACCCCAGUUUACACAUCCCUUACCAGCCAUUUGUAACUUCUCUUCAUGUGAGACAGUGCCCUUGGCACAACACUGACCAGCACAUCUAGACAGCAUCUUUGUAGAGUGAGAGACCCUCUCUAGCUUGGUUUUUUAAGACUAGAGCAGGAAUGUUUCUGCAGUUUUCUGCCCUUAGCUGUUACAGCAACAGGUAAUAGAUAACCUUUCUGCCUGCAAGGGUACCCGGUGCCCAACCCAGCCCGCAGGGAGGAAGCUGCCUACCCGUCUUUCAGAAUAAUGGAAACCAGAAGGAAAACAAGAAGGGAUUUGGAGAUCCCGAAAAGAAAGGAUGGUGGGUUUCAGGUAUAGGAACUUUAGGUGAGGUGGGAGUGAGAAUGGGGGAAAUGGAAGAAGUAUGAGGAAGAGUGGUGACCCCUUCAGCAACUGUCACUCCUACUUUCACUUCUUGAGCACAUCACUCCUACUUUCACUCCAUGAAAUAAUAAAAAGCAGUGUAUAGAAUCAUAGAAUCACCUAGGUCAGAAAAGACCUCUGAGAUCAUCCAGUCCAAUGUUUUCUUGUUUUAUUAUACAAAGGCCACAAGACAGCUCUAAUUUCACUAUUUGUUAGUUCCUGAGAGCCUGAUCAUCAUAACUGAGCUGAAAAACCAUAUGAAAAUCUAAUCUUUUAUCUACUAUACAGAUAAAUGUAAAUAUAGGCACAUUUUCUCACAAGCAGAACUUGGCCCAAUAACAACUUUGCCCAGCUGUGUGAUACAGUAUUUUCCUAAUAUAACUUACUAAUAACACAUUAGAGAUGAAAGUGAAAUUGUAUAAUUGCAGACACAAGCAAGAAUGAUACAUCUGACAUUUUAACUUUCUGUUCUCUGAGCAUCUUCUAAUUCAGAAUGACCUACUUAUCUGUAGCCAUCUCCAGCUGAAGUAACUUGGAUAAAAUGAGACUAGAUUUCACUCCUAAUCUAAAACAGGAAUUACCUUCCUGUUGUAAUGUGUGAAUGGGAGAAGCACAUGCAGCCCGGUCCUGAUGCUACUUGCGCAAAUUUUACAUGGUCAUACCUUUUCCCCUUCAGGGUUGUCUUUUCAGUUGGUUAUAGAUCACACCAAACGAGGUUGAACCUUAUUAACUGUGAGGGAUAUGAAGUUGACCAGUAACUUGAGUUUCUUAAGACACUGAGGAAUUGCCCCUAAAUGGUUUCGGUGUUGUAGAAAGUGAAAAGAAAGUAAGAAAAUAUGAGCAUGCAUAAUUGAAGUUAUUAUGAGGAACUCAGUUGUGCCGCAAUUCUCAGCUAGUUCAUUUUUAAAAUUGUAAUUAGAUUUUAAUUACUGAAGCAGAUGGAGCCCCUAUGGUCCAAGUAAUAGAUGCAGCAGAAGUAAUGUUGCUUGUACAGCUCAUCCUCAGACUCUAAAAAGCAGUAGAAAAGCUUUUCUUCCAUUUUGUCUGAUUGUGGUGAAUCGUGUGGUAAGAACUCUCUGUAUUAAUCUGAGUUUAAAGAUGCCUUAAGGAAUUCAGAGCAAGCACUGGACUUACCCACUCAUAUACUGGAUGAAAGUGUAGUACUGUGAAUCUAUUUAGGAAUAAAAAUCCCUUUCUUACUGUUAUGAAGUUUUAUUUUGCGACAAAUGGAGUUUCUUUAACUAAACUAUGAAAACCUAUAUGGUUCAAAGUAUGAUUUUUUUCUACCCCAGUCUCCCAGCACUUGAUUCAAAGUCCACCCCCUGACUGUCCCAUGGAAAGCAAGAGGCAUUUGAUAUUAAAAUCAUAUUCAAAAUAGCAUUAAUGACUCCCUCCAAUUGAUUCAGAGUCAUAAUGUAUAAUGGUUUAUUUUGUAAAAGCAACAGUAAACAUGAACACCUGCCUCGUAAGUUCCAGGAGACUCUUUUAAAAAGAAGCCUUCCUAAUCAUUCUGAUGAGCUCAGAGAAGCCAUUAACAUUGUUCCAAAGUUGCUCUUCAAAGAUUACAAAGACUUUGCAAAGGUUUUUACUUCACUCUCUCCCUUGUACAUCUGUUGAGAUCUUGGGACUGGAUCCUCACAGCAGCCGAGGAUGGUCAUAAAGGUCCUCCUGGCUGAGUAGUGUUGUGUUUGUGGGUCUGCCGUCUCAGGCCGUGUCCUGGGAUACUUGUGCAUCAGUUCAUGCCUGUCUUCCACCAUUGUGAAAAGGAAAGAGUUCUUCAUCUGGGGAAAUCUUGGUGAAGACCAGAGUUCAAAGAUUUCUGACUUUUGGACCAUGAGUACAAUAGAGAUGCAACUUUUCUUCUGGUCUGACUGUGCCCAGUCCUCCAGAGACAUCCAAGUAGGUCUCCUAUGCACUUCUGUCAUGCUGCUGCUACUCCUCAGCUCAGAACUGGCAGGAUAUGCACCAGCUGAAAAGAGCUGGGAGACUGUUGUAAGGGGUAUCUGUGCCGUAAGCAGAGCUUUGUGGGGCCCAGGUGCAGGUUGUCACCACAAUGAAGACUGACAUAUAGGAACAUAAGGAUCUGAUGAGCAUCUUUGUUAGCUUACAGAGGCAGGCUGCCCAGAAAAAGGAGUUUGUUCCCCUUGAGGGACCUCUUCAGCUUCUAGAAGCUCGAGAAUGUAGAUACUCUAGAGCAGAAGAUGGCCAAAAGAUGUCAAACAUGCUGCUGUCUUGGACAAACUACUUGAAUCUGUGCAGCUAGUUGGAAGAAAACUCCCUACACUUCUGAGGACUGCUGAUUUUGUUGUUUAAACUCAUUGCUUAUAAUUAAAGAUCAGUGUUAUAAUACGCUCCCAGCAGCCAACCAGUGUAAAGAGUUUCCAAUCAGUGUUUCCAUACAUUAAAUGUUUACUUGCUGCAGUGACACUUAUAAAUGAAGAUGAGCUUCUAAAUUUAAACACAAGUUGUUCCUUGAAAGAAAGCACAUUACAGUAACUGUGAAUCCUUUAGGAGCUUUAUUGCUGAUGCACGGAAGCACAGAGGUUCUUGUUAAGAUCAAAAAAAUUCUCAUAAGUUAUCACUGAGUUGAUAAGCUUCCUCUCCAUCUCUUCUCUGAGUGAAACAUUAAUUUUAAACCAUAGCAGAGAAGAUAUGAUUGUUUCCUAGCCUAUUCUUUUCCUGAGAUGUCAGGCUUAUUUCUUCUUUUUGUAAAAAAUCGGUCAAUGAUCCUCCGGUGAAAGAAAGAUUCUGAGAAAUGUAGGUGGCAUGAUCCCAUCACAAGGCAGUCCAGUUCUUCACAAAGGCUGCUACUGCAGGUGCCACUCACAGUAAUACACUACAAACUUGCAAGCAUUAACUUUUUUUGGUACUUAUGGUCUCUUCAGUGUCAUUAUCUACAGUUUCUACUAAAUGGGAAAAUCAAAAAGUUCUUCCCUGUAUUUCUAUAGGCAAAUGACUUCAGUCUUUGGAGAAGUUAAUGUCUGAUUUCCAGUAUAUGAUUUAGAUGGCCUCAAUGCUACCAGUGUAGGCUAAUGGCUUUCUUGACUUUUCUCCAGGAUAAGCACAAGCUCACAACUAAAGAGAAAUGCAGAAACGCGUGUUACAGUGUAGACACUGAAGUAUGGUAUGCUUCAUCCGGUACAAGGCAGGGGAUAAGUACUGAAGAGCUCAGUAGGAGUGAGUUAGGAAUGGAAAUGACCAUCUUAAAGUAUACAGGCAGAGCGGCUCCCAUCACUGUUUCUGUCUGUAAAACUGCCUAUUGCUAGUGUCUGGUUCAUCCUGACUUUUGUGUUGGUAACUCUCACCGCUUCAUUUCAGAUCUUGCACUAUUUUUCUAUGGGGUGAAACUUUUGGAUAUCAAAAGGCAAGAGGUCUCUGGAAAAGUUUGAGAACAUGAAGCUCAGCCUGCAAAGGCUGAGGGAAACAAAUGAGCACAGAGCAUAGUCUCAGAGCCUGGGACAUUUCACAGGCAGUGUUGUAGACUGUAUUUCCUUCCUUUUCCUUGGAGGAGCUCAACCGUUUUGGAAGGUCAUUUUCCCCUGUUUAGCCCCUUGAGAGCUGCUAGCAAGCAUAUAUUUUUCCAGAGGAGCCCCAGUUUCUAAGCAAAAGAUGACACGUUGCUGAAAGAGACCUUUACUCUUAAUGGGUUGUGAAUGUUGGUUCCCAAAACUACCUACAAAUUAAUCAGUUUCAAUCAGUUAAGAAAAGUAGGGAAUGGUUAGACAUUUGGGAGAUGGGAAGGGGAGGAGGUAGGGGGAGAAAAGUAAAAGGCUUGUGAAAUAACUGAGAAAAUACAUAGACAGAAAAAGAAUGAUCCUAAUGUCUCAUCCCCACUUAAAACUGGAAUAGAGAUAAUUUCUUUUUCAUUGUUACUGCUUUUUCAUCUGGUCUCAAUUUUUUUUUUUUUUUUUACAUUUCAGUCCUUCAAAAUAUAUGAUCUAUAAAUGAAACCAAGGAAGUGGGAACUCUUAAAACUUCACUUAUUAAACAUUUACGCUUAAUUAAAAUCUGUUAAUGAGAGAUAGACUAACUGUGCCUUCCUGUAAACGAGUAGAGACAUCAUCUAAAAAAUACAAGUAGGGAUCCUAUUUCAACUUGCUCAAAGCUUUGAGUGUUCUAAUUUUGGUGACUUUAGUGAGGAGUGUCAGAGUCUCCCCCCAGAUUUCCUGUUUUUAUGACAUUUAGCUCUAGACCUAAGCUGGGACUCAUCCUAACUUUGAAUUAUAAAUAUAUGAGCUCUACUCCAAAAGUAAUGCCUUCUAUUUUAUGUUGACCUAUAAACUCAAAGGUGGAUGUUAGUGGCAUGGCAGUAAGGGUUGAACCUUCCCCAAAGUAUUUCAUUACAUGUUGUUGCAGCGUGACAGGUGGCAGCAGAGGGGUGGUCUGACAUGGAAGUGCAGAUGAAGCAAAAGUGUAUCACUGAAUUCCUCCAUGAGUUAAAAAUGGUACCCAUAGGUAUUCAUUGAUGCUUGCUGAACCUUUAUGGAGACCAAUCAGUGGAUGUGAGCAGAGUGGGGUGCUGGAUGGUGCAUUUCAACAGAGGCAUCAGCAAAGUAAAAGAUUGUUUGGAAAGAUGAAAAAUAGAUUUUGUGGGCAACAUUCUCCUAGCAAUGAUGUUAUCAUAGAAUCUCUGAAACAGUGGGUCACUUCCAUUGGUGCAGCUUUUUACAAGAACAGCAUUCAGGCUCUUGUUCAUUCCUAGCAAAAAUGUACAGCUAAUGGUGGUGAAUGUGCUCAGAAACAGUGUUUUGUAACUGUAAAUUUGGUCUGUCAAAUAGUGUUACUGUGCUCUUUGUAUCUAUUGUCGUUUCCAUAGAAAUAAAUAGGCGGCAUUACUUUCAGAGAGGCCUGCAUACUAUCUCAUUGGCAAAUGUUUAACAAGACUUUAGGCAUCAAAAAAGUCUUCAUAGUAAACUCCAGGUCUCCUUAAAUACUUCCUUUAGAAGUGUAUUCACCUCUAUGCAUGAAUAAAUAUGAGUGUUUUGGAUAAAACUGAUAACAUGGUGAGAGCAACAGGGGAGAAAAUUGAGCACAAUGAGUGUUGAGCUUGAAGACAGUAUUUUCUGAUCUUUUUUUUUUUUCCAUAAGAAGAUGAGCUUGAAAGAAGCUUGCAGAUUCAAGCUAUACAUUUCAGGGUACAUAUUACAGGCACUGUAGCGCUAUGCUUAGACAGGUGGAAUCAGAUUGCAGCAGUCUGUUCCAAAUUUUCUUCUCUCUGGUAGACUGAGAGAAGAAAACCAAUGUAAUAACAAGCUGUUAGCAAACAAAACCCAGUAAACAUCCAUAAGAAUGACAGGAAUCACUUUAUUAAGUGAUUAGAAGACUUAUGGACUAAAGUGAGUUAAAAUGCUGAGAAGCAACUCAAGAUUUUAUUCAAGGUACAGGCUCUUAACUGAGGAUUAAUUUUAACCCCUAUAUAACCAACUUUCUCUGGAGGUUUCAGCCCUGCUGUACAAAUCUUCUGCAAGGAGUUCAUCUCUUUGAGGGUGAGAUGGAUGUCAGGUCAGAAAAGAAAAUAAAACAGACAAGAAAGCAGCUUCUGCCUGGAAAUAAUUUUUUGGACCAAUGGUUAAGAGACAGCCUCUUUAGCCCAGCUAUUAUUUGUGUAGGUCUGAAAAAAACAACAUCAAAGGCACACCCAAUGCAAUGCUACUGAUGUACAACCCCAACUGUCAGGUACAGCUCAAGAGUCAUGAAACAUGUCAGUAUUUAUAAUUUUAGAAGUUCUGUGCCUAAUUUAUGACAUGUCUGCAUUUCUUAAUUGUUGGCAUUGUUUAUAAGAUAAAUUGAGCUGGUCAGAAUCUCAAUGUCUCUAGAGUUCUAGGAACAUACUACUGGACCUUAAAAGUGUCUAUUUUCAAAGCAAGAGAAAGAAACAAAAGACAGCUUCUGGAAUGAUAUGAAAAUGUGGUUCAAGCUUUAUAAAAAGAAGAAUGCAUUCCACUGGCCAGAGACACUAAGCUUGACCAGAGCAAAUCCCAAAGUUAUUUGAAAACCUUACUGAAAGGAGAACUGGUGUUGACUUUGACUACUGUAAAUAUUUGUAGUGAAACUGAACCAGAGCCACACUGAGGAGCAGAUGCUGAUGUGACCUCCAGAUAGCAUAGACUAACAAUAAGUUAAAAUAUUGGCUGUGAUCUACAGAAGCAAUAAUAAAAAAUCUGACUAAGUAGCUUAUUUUAAGUAAGCAAUGCCUGUGACUUCAUAGGCUCUCAUAUAUGGUCUGUUGUUAGUUUCUGAAUCACGUUUAGCACAAAGAAUUUGUAAAGAAAAUAAAUAGGCAUGAAAGUUUCUAACACUAUUUCCACGAAUAGACUGCACUGAAAGAGUAACUGUGGAUGGUAAAGGUAUAGGCAAAGCAAUUUAAGCAUUUAGUCGGAAAUAUUCUAAAAAUGUCUAACUUUGAUCUGCAUCAAAGCAAAUGGUGGCAGCCGGCAGCUCCAACCAGAACAGCCUGCAGUAGAUUAUAGAAUCCCAAGUUAGACCUUAGAAACUGGUAUCUUGCUUAUUUUUAGUCAAGAGACUUCAGCAGCUUCUUGGCUAUGCCUUAGCCCACUCUAGAGAAUGAAAGUCCCAAAGUCAGAAGAGUGAAGUAAAGCUGGAGACACACAGACCCACUAGUCAAAAGGCAAGGAACGUGCUGUUUUUCAGAGAAAAUGACUAGGUGGGUGUGCAAGCAACCUGCUCCCAAAGUCCGUUGUGGUGAUGGCCUUUUGUGUUUGCAGAUGCCAGCUGCAACGGCUGAGUGCUCUGGGAGGUUACAUGGGAAACAGAAAUGUGGUUAUUUAAAAUUCUGCAGAUUUGGAUGAAGCUGCUGGAAAAAAAAAAAAAAAAAAGAUUUUUUUUCAGGCUUUUUAGCAGCUACACUGUUUAAUACCUCUAUAUAGAUCUGUUUGCCACUCACCCAAAAAAUUACUUUUUGGAUUGCUGUCUUGAGGUUGCUUUUUCUUUAUGGCCAUUUCUCUCCCCCUCCUCAUCCAAGAUAAAUACUUGAUCUGUGUGGGAAAGCAGUUGCAAAAAACUUGAAGCAAUUCACAAAGCUAAGGUUUACUUUCUUUGUGCCUUUCACUCUCUCCCCUACAUUUUCUUUUCCACUCGUGCUAUUUCUUUCCUUCCUGUGGCUGCCUUGUUCAUGCUGGCUUUUGUUGCUCAGUAAACUUGAAGAUUAAAUGAGAAAUGGCGUUAAAAAUUAUCUAUAAUCUUAUGCAUGUUAAUAAUGGUGAGCUUUUUCAGUCCCUUCAGAAACAGCAGUUUAUCAGUCUUGAUUGUUAAUGGCUGAAAGGCAAAUAGAUCAGCUUACAGGAAAAAAAAUAACGUUGAGGAAACAUUAAUUCUGCAGCUAAGAAUACUGAUAUUUUCUUAUGUUGAUCCUGUUGCCAAAAGCAGCAAGUCUGAACAUCAACAAGCAGGUAUAUCAAACAGAGAAAUUAUACUGCAGUCUGAGUAAUCUGACAGCUCAAUAUUUUCCCAAUAGAAUAUUCCAUGCCUUUUUACUUGUAGCUGUUGAUUUAUUUUCUGAUGUAGAGCUAUGAUGACUCAAUGUUGUUUGCACAAUCAUUUUCACUUCCAUAAACUACAAGGAUAGUUAACAGAAUGGGAGAGAGAGCCCUUUCCCUCUCACCCUAAACAGCAGAAAUAGAAAAAUAGCAGCUCUUCCUAGAGAUUUGAUGGGGCUGUGCAAAACUCCUUCCUUCCCUCUCCAUAAGUUUCAUCCAUAAUGGUAGGCAAAAUACCGCCAAACAACAAUCCUGCAUUCAGUCAUGGAGUUGUUAGUAUUUUGUAGUAAGUCUACACAGAUGUAAAUGGCCAUUAAAGUGCAGGGCAGCAGAGAAUUAGACACUAGCUGUUCUAUGGAAGUGAAGGUCAUAGCAGAGGGCACCCAAGAAUGGCAGCCCAGGGAUGCAGGUUUUGCCUAUUAGUAUUGCACCUCCACUCUAGUGUGAAAAAUGACCUUGUGAAACAGACAUUUCUUAGUAGAAACCUAGGCUAUCUGUACUCUUGCUUUUUUUCUCCUUUUCUGAUAGUGCUUUGAAUUCAGCUACACUUAACUAAAUGCCCAAAUGACUUUAUUUGCUGAUAAGUUUCAGAUGAACAAUGAAGUUAAUGUAGUUUGUAUAUUCUACAGUGCAACUGAUAACCUCUGCCCUAAGCAUUUAUUCUUUUCCUUUUUUUGAUUUCUUAUCCUCUAACCAUUUUAUGCUGAGACACACUAUGUUAUCACCCUGCAAUUUCCAAUAACUGUGUUCUGCAGCAGUGGAAAAAAAAAUCAAUUUGCCACUCAACAGUGAGGAACAUGUCUUCAUUGGAAAAAGAACAUACUAUUUGUAUUUCCCCUCUUUCUUAGCAUACAGUUAUUUGUACACACAAACAAAGCAGAGUCCAUGAAUGCAAACACCAUUUCCUCCUUUCAAGCAGGUAGACAUAUCUGAUUAUUGUUAUACCAGACCCAUGAGUGAAACAGGCAUAUUUUCUGUGUUACAGAGUAAAAGCAUCAAAAGUAAAUCACCUUUUGCGCUUCCGGAUUCUUGAUUUAGCCCUCUAUCAACUGGAAGCACCUUGCUAUACCUAACAAUUAUCUUCAACAUCUUCUGCUGAUUUGAGUGGCCCACGCAAGCAAAAUUCUGACAGUGUCAGAAUCAGACUGGACCAAGUAUUGGGUUAAAGGGUGAUCCCCUGUACGUGGGCAAUAUGUUGCCUGCAAGGCCUUCUCAUUCUGGCUGCAGCCGUCCAAAACUAAAACUGGAGAUGCAUCAAUUUUGCAAGUCAACAGGACUUGUUUUUUUAAUGUUUAAAACAGUACUUAAAUUGUGACAGGCUUCCCAUACAUGAAGGAGCCAUAGUUCUUCAGGAAGUGUGUCGUGAUUGCAAGCAAAAUAAAGACCUACAUUGUACACAGUCCCCUGCAAUACACUACACAAUCCCCAUGCAAAUAUUCACAAAAUUGUGAAGCAUAAAACUAGCAAGCAGGUAUGAAAAAAUCACCAAACUGUUCUUAGAUUGUGACUGAAAACUGUACUGACAAUUCCACACAGAACAGCCUUUGGUAUUUUCUGAAAAGUCUUACUUGGAUUUACUUACUAGAUCCAAAAUCCAGGAGCUACUUGGAUCUUUUAGAGAAAGUCAAAGAAGGCAAGAGUUAAAAAGGCUGGGCAGGGCAGAUUUAGAAAGCAACUUCUACUUUCCUAGGAAAUGCAAUUUUUUCAGUUUUUUAGAGUGAUUUUAAUUGAAUUAUCAUGCUAGUUUUUGUUGCUUGCUCUAUUCCAUUCUUUCUUUGUAGCCCACUGACUUUUCUGGAUCUGGCUGUGGGAUAAAAAUACAGCACUCAGGGGUGAUGGCAUUCAGAACCAAAGUCACUGGUUUGCUUUCUUAGUCAUAGUAUUUCUUAAGGUAAACAGAACCUAUUUGUGAUGGAACACUGACUGUAAAUCACAGGAAAAUCAUAGUAAAGUGACCUACAAUGGCCUUUACUUCUUCACGCAUCUUGUUUAGUUACUUAAAAAUAACAUUACGUGUCAUUUCAGAACUUCUUGUAUUUAUAGCUUUCCUCUUCUCCCUUGUGUCCCCGCGCAUUAAGUAAAUGUGGGUUAACUCAAGGAGAUUUUUUUUCUCUAAUGAAUAUGCCACUGCAACAUACUUCAUAGAAUCAUCUUCAAUCAGUAAAAAAUAAUAACCUUGAAGCUUUUUUCAGAUGUCUAACUUGAUUUCCAGCUCAGUGUCUAGUGUUAAAGACCACGACAUUUUCAAAAAAGACUAUCAGGAAAAUGCCACAAGAGAAAAGGGGAAGCAAGUCUCCAUCAGGAUAGACAAAAUCUAUAAGCAGAAUCGUUUUCUGCUCUCUGAGUAUUGAAAACCUUGUCUACCUUCCCUAGUGAUUCCAUCUGGUCCCAUAAAAACUCCAUCCCACUACCUCCCCCUACAAGCCUAAUUUGUUUUGGUUUUUUUUUGUAACAUAACUGCACUGUUAUGAUUACAAAAUUCAAAGGAUGAUUUGACACUAGCUAAAAUAAUCAUUGACUUUUAUUUGUCAUAUUCUGGAGAAGGUGAAGUUGGUUUUUUUUUUGCAGCAAAUUUGAAUAUUACUACGAAUAUUUGUGUUGUGACUCCUUCCUAGUUUCAGUCAAUGGAUUAGCUUUUGGGAACAGCUUCCUCCUCACCUUUUCCUUCUCUUUCUCUGGAAAUAUUUUUUUUCUUUGCAAUUCUCGUCUAAUAGGUAGGAUAUACUGUGUCAUGAAAAACAAGCUUAGGGAUUUACUACAAUGAAAGCAAAGACUUUAAGUGCUUUGUUGUUGAGGAAAGGAAAUAGUUUGUUGAAGAAGGGAUUUCUACUGAUUAAAUAACUAAAGAUAAUAAAUCCUUUUUAAAGUCAUCUGCCUAGUGACUCCAGAAAGACAGAAGAUGUGAUAUUGGAUAGAAUUUUUUUUUUCCAAAUCAGAAAAACAUCUCUCUUGGGGAAAAAAAAAUGUACCCACAUGUACUUGAUUUUCUGCAGAAGUCCAUAAAGAAAAUGACUCACUAGAAAGUUGCAGUACUAGAUGGGUAAAUGUACUAAAUUCUUUAUAUUCUAAAAAACAUUACUUUGACAGAGACAAGAAUUAUCAUGUACGCUAUAUAUGAAAGCAUGUACUCUAUGAUGCUAUAAAUCUUCCCAAGCUUCUAUAAAUAGGGGGGUCUUAGAUGCUGUGUCCCUUGUCAAUGCCACAUUAAGAGGUACUGUCUGCUUACAACUGGGGCUGGUGGGAUUCCCUAGUUUCUGUUUGCAGACAUUCCAUGUUGCAUUUUGGAUUCUGAAAGUGUUUUUUUUCUAAGUAUAUCCAUUGGGCAGAGAGAGCAGGUUGUUUGCAGUCUGUUCAUUUUAACUUUCUAGUGAGCAUUAGGUAAGACAUGCGUAUGGAUAUGAAAACAUGACAUGCAUUCUCUUUACCAUAAUUUUAUGUCUAAAAUCUUAUAGGCUCCAAAAAAAAGUAUUAAAUAUAUGGAUAUUUUUUGCUUAACAAUAUUUCCAUGAAAUUUCUUAUUUUCAUUGUCAGAACUGAUUUGGAUAUUUAUGGAGUAUGUUUCUUCAUUGUUGAAUAAAACUCAAUGUCAGCAUGAAACAAGUGUAUUAGUAAGGAUGUAAGUCAAACUGUAGAAAGAACUAUUUCUAUUUAAAAUGCGGGAUGCCAGCAGGGCCAGUCAAGGCUAUUUUGUACAAUACUUCAGAAAUGUGUGUAGCUCAUUGUCCCACACAGGCUCUGAUCCAAAAGUCUCAUUCUGUAGCGACUUUCUACUAGAAGUUGAACCAGAAAUUCAAUGAUAUGCAGAGAAAGGACAAAGCCAGUCUCUGAGGUAUUAUAUGAAUUAUAAUUAAUUAUAAUUAUUAUUAUACAUAUAUCUACCUAUGUAAUGAUUUUGUGGUGCAGAAAUCAAAUAGAAGUUUUACUAAAUAUGUCUAAUUAAGGAAUAUAGAUAAAAACAGAACUCUAGUUGCCAUUCUCCUCUGCUGAACUUCUGCACUGCAUUGUUAUCAAUUUGCUAGCAUAUGAAAUCAAAUAUAUGUGUCCAUUGACUCAAGAUAUCAAGCACAAUGAUGCACGUUACUGAACAGUCUAGUUCUUUUUUCUUUCACCAGCCAAUUCAAUUUCAAAUAAGAAGUAGCCACCAGCACAAUAUGUAGAGGGCUUAAGAUAAGCAGCACAAGCUAGAAACCAGCCAACGCUUUCUUAGAGUGAGAUCUUUAAAUUUUAGGAAAUACUGUCUUCACUGUGCGAGGGCAAGUUUUUAAAUUAUUCUUUGUUUAAUAAGUGAUUUACUGUGGCACUCAUAUGACACGAGAAGUAUUAGCAUCAAACUGCUGACAUCUAUUAUCACAAAAACAAUAGUGGAAACUAUUUUCUUCUACUUGCCAUAAACAGUUCAUUAUUACUAAGAUAACAAAAUAAUUAACUGCAGCCUUUAAAUGUAAUUUUUAAAAAAGUAGUAAUUGUAAUCUGUUAUUAGUAAAGCCACUUAAAGCUACCUAAGGGAAAAAUAAAUAAUGGAAUACAACAUUAA